GGGGAACAUCAUAAUAUUAUUGGAGGAGUCAUUUGGUGGGUUUUGAGUGAAAUCCAAUCUCUAGAACUAUACAAUACACCAACCACCCCAUUUCAUCACGAACUUCGUAGGAACCUGAAUUGUCCGAUUUCAAGGACCAAUCGAUAUCGAAUUGAGUCCAAAACUUGGUGAACAUCAUAAUAUUGUGGGAGGAGUCAUUUGGUGGGUUUUGAGUGAAAUCCAAUCUCCAGAACUAUACAAUACACCAAUCACCCCAUUUCAGACGUACUUCGUACGAACCUGAAUUGUCCGAUUUCAAGGACCAAUCGAUAUCGGAUUGAGUCCAAAACUUGGGGAACAUCAUAAUAUUGUGGGAGGAGUCAUUUGGUGGGUUUUGAGUGAAAUCCAAUCUCCAGAACUAUACAAUACCCCAACCAGACCAUUUCAGAACGAACUUCGUAGAACCUGAAUUGUCCGAUUUCAAGGACCAAUCGAUAUUCGGGAUUGAGUCCAAAACUUUGGGGAACAUUAUAAUAUUGUGGGAGGAGUCAUUUGGUGGGUUUUGAGUGAAAUCCAAUCUCAAGAAACUAUACAAUACCCCAACCAGACCAUUUCAGAACGAACUUCGUAGGAACCUGAAUUGUCCGAUUUCAAGGACCAAUCGAUAUCGGUUUGAGUCCAAAACUUGGGGAACAUCAUAAUAUUGUGGUAGGAGUCAAUUGGUGGGUUUGGAGUGAAAUCCAAUCUCUAGAACUAUACAAUACCCCAACCACCCCCUUUCAGAACGAACUUCGUACGAACCUGAAUUGUCCGAUUUCAAGGACCAAUCGAUAUCGGAUUGAGUCCAAAACUUGGGGAACAUCAUAAUAUUGUGGGAGGAGUCAAUUGGUGGGUUUUGAGUGAAAUCCAAUCUUUAGAACUAUACAAUACACCAACCACUCAAUUACAGAACGAACUUCGUACGAAUCUGAAUUGUCAGAUUUCAUCGACCAAUCGAUAACAGAUUGAGUCCAAAACUUCGGGAACAUCAUAAUGUUGUGGGACGAGUCAUUUGGGGGGUUUUGAGUGAAAUACAAUCCCCAGAACUAUACAAUACACCACCCACUCCAUUUGAGAAUGAAUUCGUACGAACCUGAAUUGUCAAAUUUCGUGGAACGAUCGAUAUCGAAUUGAGUCCAAAACUUGGGGAACAUCAUAAUAUUGUGGGAGGAGUGAUUGGUGGGUUUUGAGUGAAAUCCAAUCUCCAGAACUAUAGAAUACACCAACCAACCCAUUUCAGAACGAACUUCGUACGAACCUGAAUUGUCCGAUUACAAGGACCAAUCGAUAUCGGAUUGAGUCCAAAACUUGGGGAACAUCAUAAUAUUGUGGGAGGAGUCAUUUGGUGGGUUUUGAGUGAAAUCCAAUCUCUAGAACUAUACAAUACUCCAACCACCCCAUUUCAGAACGAACUUCGUACGAACCUGAGUUGUCCGAUUUCAAGGACCAAUCGAUAUCGGAUUGAUUCCAAAACUUGGGGAACAUCAUAAUAUUAUUGGAGGAGUCAUUUGGUGGGUUUUGAGUGAAAUCCAAUCUCUAGAACUAUACAAUACACCAACCACCCCAUUUCAUCACGAACUUUGUAGGAACCUGAAUUGUCCGAUUUCAAGGACCAAUCGAUAUCGAAUUGAGUCCAAAACUUGGGGAACAUCAUAAUAUUGUGGGAGGAGUCAUUUGGUGGGUUUUGAGUGAAAUCCAAUCUCCAGAACUAUACAAUACACCAAUCACCACAUUUCGGGAACGAACUUCGUACGAACCUGAAUUGUCCGAUUCAAGGACCAAUCGAUAUCGGAUUGAGUCCAAAACUUGGGGAACAUCAUAAUAUGUGGGAGGAGUCAUUUGGUGGGUUUUGAGUGAAAUCCACUCUCCAGAACUAUACAAUACCCCAACCAGACCAUUUCAGAACGCAUUUCGUAGGAACCUGAAUUGUCCGAUUUCAAGGACCAAUCGAUAUCAGUUGAGUCCAAAACUUGGGGAACAUCAUAAUAUUGUGGGAGGAGUUAAUUGGUGGGUUUUGAGUGAAAUCCAAUCUUUAGAACUAUACAAUACAACAACCACCCCAUUUCAGAACGAACUUCGUAGGAACCUGAAUUGUCCGAUUUCAAGGACCAAUCGAUAUCGGAUUGAGUCCAAAACUUGGGGAGCACCAUAAUAUUGUGGGAGGAGUCAUUUGGUGGGUUUUGAGUGAAAUCCAAUCUCUGGAACUGUACAAUACACCAACCACCCCAUUUCAGAACGAAAUUCGCACGAACCAGAAUUGUCCGAUUUGAAGGACCAAUCGAUAUCGGAUUGAGUCCAAAACUUGGGGAACAUCAUAAUAUUGUGGGAGGAGUCAUUUGGUAAGUUUUGAGUGAAAUACAAUCCCCAGAACAAUACAAUACACCACCCUCUCCAUUUGAGAAUUGUCAAAUUUCGUGGACCGAUCGAUAUCGAAUUGAGUCCAAAACUUGGGGAACAUCAGAAUAUUGUGGGAGGAGUCAUUUGGUGGGUUUUGAGGGAAAUCCAAUCCUUAGAACUAUACAAUACACCAACCACCCCAUUUCAGAGCGAACUUCGUAGGAACCUGAAUUGUCCGAUUUCAAGGACCAAUCGAUAUCGGAUUGAGUGCAAAACUUGGGGAACAUCAUAAUAUUGUGGGAGGAGUCAUUUGGUGGGUUUUGAGUGAAAUCCAAUCUCUAGAACUAUACAAUACACCAACCACCCCAUUUCAGAACGAACUUCGUAGGAACCUGAAUUGUCCGAUUUCAAGGACCAAUCGAUAUCGGAUUGAGUCCAAAACUUGGGGAACAUCAUAAUAUUGUGGGAGGAGUCAUUUGGUUGGUUUUGAGUGAAAUCCAAUCUCUAGAACUAUAAAAUACACCGACCACCCCAUUUCAGAACGAACCUCGUACGAACCUGAAUUGUCCGAUUCAAUUGACUAAUCGAUAACGGAUUGAGUCCAACACUUGGGGAACACCAUAAUAUUGUGGGAGGAGUCAUUUGGUAUGUUUUGAGUGAAAUACAAUCCCC
rnacentral:lncRNA from 1 species